UGCCAGCCGCCGCGGUAAUACGAAGGGUGCUAGCGUUGUUCGGAAUUACUGGGCGUAAAGAGCAUGUAGGCGGAUGAAUUAGUCAGAGGUGAAAGCCCCGAGCUCAACUUGGGAACUGCCUUUGAUACUGGCAGACUAGAGUAUAGUAGAGGCAAGUGGAAUUCCGGGUGUAGCGGUGAAAUGCGUAGAUAUCCGGAGGAACAUCAGUGGCGAAGGCGACUUGCUGGACUAAUACUGACGCUGAGGAGCGAAAGCGUGGGGAGCAAACGGGAUUAGAUA
rnacentral:rRNA from 1 species